rnacentral:rRNA from 1 species
UACGGGAGGCAGCAGUGGGGAAUAUUGCACAAUGGGCGAAAGCCUGAUGCAGCAACGCCGCGUGAGGGAUGAAGGCCUUCGGGUUGUAAACCUCUUUUAGUUGGGAAGAAGCGAAAGUGACGGUACCAACAGAAAAAGCACCGGCUAACUACAGUGCCAGCAGCCGCGCGUAAUAA